GCAUGUUUUGAGUGUAAAAUAUGUACAGAAUUAAUUAAUGAUAUAAAGAAACAGUUAAAUCGCAAUAUCUUUUAUGCGUAUAAUGAAAAAAACUAAUUAUUUUGUAAUUAAUUACCAAGUUGUUAUUCAAAAUAUGUUGCGGUUUAUUUGUUAACUUUUAAUUAUUUUACUACUUACCUAUCAAGCAAGUAAACGCCAAGACAGCUAAAAGGAAUUGCAUAAACCAUCCGUAUGUGUCGGUGAGGGCAUCCUUAGAGCAAUGGAGCUCGGAGAAAUAAAUAUAAUCGGAACUGUUAUUCAUUUUUCAUGACUUCACUUGUAAAAUGUUUAAUCAAAUAUUUACACCACUAAUUUCACUAUCUACACAAACCACUGACAUAUUCGAAUAAAAAAAAAUAUUUGCCGAUAAAAAAUAUUUACAAAAAAAGACGUGUUAUUAAAAAAAUAAUUUCUCGAAAAAAUACAUGUAAUCGCAAUACCUACAAACGUGACAUUUGUAAGCUCUGUCAAAUUUCGUGUACUGUGUUUUUUUUUUUUCAAAGCUAAAUGUUAUUUUUCUGCGUGCUUCUUAAUUAUUAGCUGACAUUCUAUAGUAUACAAAACACGUUUAAUGUAAAUAGUAGAAUAUAGUAUAUUAUCAGCUGGUAACAUUAGAAAACGCUACCAAACAUUUUUCUGGCAUUGCCGCCAUUUUUUUUUAUCGUUUUCCUGUUUUGCGAUUAUAAUUUUUUUCCAUUACAUUGGGAUAUUAUUCAUAAUAAUAAUAAGUUUUUUAGUUAUAUAAAACUUACGACGCAGUAUUUAGUGGAGGUGUACAUCUCCUUUGAGUAAACCCUUCGGCUGAAACAAUUGGUACCAACAUGAAGAGGGACGCGUAUGGGGACGAGGGUCCCGCGCAGAAGCGGCAGCGGCAUUCAGACGACGAGGUCACAUUUCUCAUACCAAGCAAGGUGGCUGGUUCAAUCAUUGGAAAAGGUGGCACCAAUAUAUCAAAACUGAGAAACCAGUACAAAGCCUCUAUAACAGUCCCAGAUUGCCCCGGCCCCGAACGGGUGUUAUCAAUAACGGCUGAAGAUGUGGACACGCUUCUUGAAAUUGUCAAAGAAAUAUUGCCAUGUUUGGCGGAAGGAGGGCCCAAGGCCAUGGGCGACCAGGACCUGGACGUGCGUCUACUAAUCCACCAGAGCCGCGCCGGCUGCGUGAUCGGCAAGGCCGGCGCCAAGAUCAAGGAACUGCGCGAGAAAACCGGCGCCCGCUUGAAGAUAUUCUCUAGUCCGGCGCCUCAGAGCAUGGAGCGCAUCGUGCAGCUGGUGGGCAAGCCCGACGCCAUCGCCGCCGGCAUCCGAGAGGUGCUCGAACUCAUACGCCAGGUGCCAAUCAAAGGUCCAAUCCAGAACUACGAUCCGCACAAUUAUGACGAUUACUACGCGGACCAAUACGGAGGGUUCGGAGCCGGGCAGGGUGGCGGCGGUGGCGGCGGCGGCGGUCGUCCUCCCCGCGGCAUGCCGCCCAUGGGCCCCGCCGGCCGGCCCCCGCCGCGCGGACCCCCGCCCGCGCGCAACGGCCCACCACCUCCGCGCACUGGCUUUAACGACUUCUCCGGCCCUGGACCACGAGCUAACUUCAGCGGCGGUCCCCCGCGCGGAGGCUUUGGUGGCGGCAGCUUCGGAGGGAACUUCGGAGGCGGUGGCGGUGGAGGCCGCAGCUCCGGUUCUGGCGGCGGAAACUUCAACGGUAGCUCGGUCAACCAGCAGGAGACCACCACACAAGUUACCAUUCCCAAAGAUUUGGCGGGCGCCAUUAUAGGCAAGGCGGGGUCUCGCAUCCGCAAGAUCCGCGCGGAGAGCGGCGCCGGCAUAGAGAUCGCGGAGCCUCUGCCCGGCUCCAGCGACCGCAUCAUCACCAUCACGGGCACGCCGCAGCGCAUACAGAUGGCGCAGUACCUCUUGCAACAAAGUGUGCACGAGAGCAACCCGAAUCUCGGCCGAAACUUCUGAUUCGAGGACAUAUUGAAUCGUAUGUUGCUGCUGUAACUUGUAAGGUUUAAUAAACCACCUCAUAUCACGUGAUUGAUUCUGUAACUGUAUAGUGUAACGCGAGGCUCUCGUUUAUAAUGGCGUGUAAAGUCUGACCUGGAAACAACCGAAAAAAAAAAGACAAAGGAUAAAUUUGUUUUGUAAAUAGACUUGUUUGUGCGUUUCUAUUUUAUUAUCACAAAUAAUUUUAUCUAUGUUUGGAACAACUGAUUAUUGAAAUAUAUUUUCACAUUUCCAGAUCAGACUUCACACAAAACGUAAGAAUGCAUUUAUCAUUAUAUACAUAAUAUUAUUAAAAGAGAAUUAUCUAAGAUUGUGUCAAUGAUUUACUGAUUUAUUUGUUACAUUACAUCGAUGUAAUUUUAAGUGAUAGGUAAUAGAAAUUAAACGAAGUUUAUUUUAUGAUUCCAUG
rnacentral:miRNA from 1 species